GGCCUCACUCUGGUUCACCGUAACGGUCAACUUCAUAAUGAUGCGCAGCUCCAGCCCACCUCAUCUUCUCCCCUAAAGUCACUGUGACCACUGAGUGGCCCACCCAUACCUUGGAGCCCAACGUCCUUCUGUUGCCUGAAACAAUGAUACAACUCUACAUCUCUACAAUGCCAAAGGGUGGCCCAUCCUUGCCAGUGUCAGGAGCCAAUCAGGUGACAAGGCCUGGUGAGCCAGCCCCAAGGAGAUGCCGAUAAGUCUCUGGACACAGAGAUCAUGUUCGAGACCUGGAAUAGCUGGAGUCAAGUAGGGUGCAAACCCUCCCAGAGUACCAGGACAAAGGACCUAGAGAGACAGAGGACAGAGCUCAAUGGCUCUUGGCUGAGAAAGCACCUGCAGGAGCAGAGGAUCUGAUCACAAAGGUGAGAGAUCCUGAGUGCCAAGUGGAAGAUCCACCGGAGGCCAGUCACCAUGGAGCACGUGAACACCCCCUCGGAAGGCAGGAAGGAUGGGGCAAUUCUGUGAUUUCUCACCCAAACCAGGACAUGACCAGUAAUUAAGCUGGGACCAGGGACACAGAGGGGACAUCUAAAGACCCUGCAUAUGUGACAGUCAGAGACUAAAGAUUGCUUUCUUGGGACGGCAUCCUGGCAAUUAUCUCACUGGCCUCCGGGAGCGUCUCCGCAAGUGUGACAUGGGUUGACAAUUGUCUGCUUGCCCCUGGGGGUCCCUGCCCUCCUUCCGUGCCACCUUGAGCACACAGCUCACAGCCCCACCUCACAUGUCAGCCAUUGCCACACUUUAAUGCCUGUUCCCCCGCGAGCUCCAGACUCGGUGCUUUGUCCAAAUGUGUACCUUUAUUGCCAGUGAGGGGAGCACUUCUCCGUGUUAGUUUCCUAAUUACAUUUGUGGUUCCUGUGGGCUGGGUCGCCGUGUACUUGGGCCAGUAAUCUAUUUGGGGUUGUGAGUGUUACUUGGGACUUCUUAUAAACUUGUUACACACUAAAGCUAUCAACCCUUCGAAAGCCUUUGCUGGCAGCUUUUCUCACCCCCGUGAGAAUUGCUUGUCACGUGCCUCCUCUUCCGGACUGCAGAAGUUCCUGCUCGUCUGCUAUCCUUUCCCUUUGUACUGGUGUCUCCUGCUUGUCUGGCUGUAAAGUGCCCUCUUUUUCCUUUUUUAUUACAUUUUAUUUACUCACUGUAUGCGUAUGUGGGGGUGGACGGGCACAUAUGCCAUGGUGCCCGUGUGGAGGUCUUAGGGCAACUUGAAGAAGCCAGUUCUCUCCUCCUCUGUGCGGAUUCUGGAGAUUAAACCCAUGUCGCCAGCCUUGACAGCAAGCACCUUUACCUGCCGAGCCAUCUGCUGGCCCUGCCCUCUUCCCCUGAAGUCUUGAUGCUCUGAUCCCUUUGGUGCCAGGAUUCCAGAUUCUGGAAUGGGUCUUGAGAAUACCAAAUCAGGGACCCACUUGGUACGUGAAAGCUAUCUGCUUUCAGCUCCGGCCUGUGAGGGGCACUGUGACCUGGACCACCUUUGCAGAGGGUUGGAGAGUGGAUAGCUCCUGGAAUGGAACACAGAAUGCCCAAUGACUGUCCCUAGGGACCUUGCUUCUCCAGACAUCUUUCCUCCAUUUUUGCUUUAAAUCCAAGGUUCCUAAGCAAGGACUGGUUACUUCCCCUAACCUCAAGGAACUGAUAACGUUUGUCACAGAGGGGGUUUUACUGGCCUCUGGGAUAAAGGCCAGGGACUACUUGAUAUCUAGAGUGGUUAUUUUCUCAUUCCUGUAACCAAAUACUGGACAAGAAGCAACUUAAGGAAGGAAGGGUGUAUUUUGCCCAAUGGUUAGAUAGAACAGCCCAUCACAGUAGAAGUUCAUGGUCCACAGUACUAGGAGACUUAGUCAUAACUCACUCACAUAUCUGCAUCAGAAGUGGGCCAGUCUUUAAUCCUCAAGUCCCACCCCCAGUGACCCUCCCCCAGCCAGACUCUACUUCCUAGAGGUUCCACAGUCAAUAAAAACAUUGCCCCUAGCUGGGGAGCAAGUGUUCAAACACACGAUCCUGUGGCAUUUCAUAUUUAACCCAUAACAUCCUGCCCUGCACAAAAUGCAGGCCACUCCAACCCAAGGACAAAGGCCCAUGCAGCUCAAAGCGCCAGCAAUCUUUUUCAUUUGUGGGGUAGGUGUUUUGCUUUGUUUUGGUUGGUUGGUUGGUUUGGUUUGGUUUUUGUUAUUCACUUGAGACACAGUCUCAUCUCUCCCACGAUCACCUCAGAUUUCCUGUGUAGUCAAGGAUGACCUUGAUCCUCCUGUCUCCACCUCCCAAGUGCUUGGGAUUACAGGAGUGUGGUGCUGGGGAUGGAGGACAGGGCUUUAAACAUGUUAGGCAAGUAUUCUACCAAGUGAGCCACAUGCUUCUGCCAGCCAUAGUCCUGAAACUGAGAAAUGAUGCUACUUUAAGCUGAGCAGAAGCUUCCUGGUGCAACCAAAAAUGAUGCAGAAUUAGUAAGGAGCUGGUGUGUGUGUGUGUCUGAGGCAUCUGGUUCUCUUCUGAUCUCCAUCCUUUCUUGAAGACACGGUUUAGCAGGAGCACAUACAGUCAAAGACUAUUACAGAUUCCCUUGCAUAGGUAUAGCCACGUGAUGAGUGAUUCUUGCAAAUGGUUUGUAAGCUGACUCUGGAGGGCUUGGGAGCCCCAACAAGCAGUCAGAGGACACUCUCAACUCUUUCUCUCCCGUUGUGGCCCAGAAGGCCUUUGUUGGGGCUGCAGCAGAUCUUCUGCUCUGUGAAGAGGCUUUGGAAAUGGAAGCCAUGUUUGGCACACCAAUGCCAAAGGACUGAGGUCCUGCAGCCCCUGUGCCACAGAGCCAACAAGCCAGGUCUGGCCAGCUGGCACAGACCCUUUAAAAAGGAAGAAGGGAACAAGCCUGCCUGGUGCUUCAUGGCCCAGGUAGUUAGAUCCACGAUGAUGAGCAAAUAUGUGGUGGAGAAAUGGGGGGAAAAGGAGAAGUGGCGUGGUUUGUGUGUUGUGGAAAGAGGCAGAACUGAAGAUUUGAAGGCCAUGAGGAACAGGCUGAUGUGGGUGACCUCGGCUGCCGCCUGGGGCCAUGUGAUGUUCCAGCUUGUGCUGAUGCCGAGAGCCAUGUUUGGGUCUGUGGCCCUAUGUAGCUGUGUUGAUGUCUGUGGCCUGUGUUACCACCAAUGGCCUUAUGGAUGCCCGGGAUCUGGGCUGCCACCUGAGGCCAUGUUGGUGUCCAAGGGCCAUGCUGCUGCCAGGGUCGUACUGAUCUGAGUGGACUGCACUGCCACCCAAGGCUAUGAUGAUGUCCAGGCCUGAGCUGUGGCCAAGGGUCAUGUCUGGGUAUGUGGUCCUACUGUAGCCAGGGUCUGUGUUAAUGUCUGUGGCCCAUGUUACCACUGGGGGCCGUGCACGUGCCUGUGGUCUGGACUGCCUCCUGAAGCCAAGCUGAUGUCCAAGGUCUGUACUAAGCUGGUCCUGCACCUUGCUAGAUGCUACAGAGGGGAAAGAGUUGGCUCCGCCAAUCACAGGAGGGCCAGCCCUGGUGGUGAGCACUGGAAAACUGGCUCCUGUGACCUGGGCAUGGGAGAGUUGGCCCCACCCCCCAUGAGUGGCCACAGAAGGAGAGCUGGCCCCACCACUCAUGGGAGAGCUGUCCCUGCCCCUCAUGGUAGAGCUGCCUCCAAUGGCAUGGGUGCAGAAGAGCUGGCUCGGUGGCCUGGGCACAGGAGAGCUUGUCAUGCCCCUCUCCAGCCCUGGGAGGUGGUUCUGGUGGAAGCCUGGACUGUCCAACUCAGCUGCCACAUCCAGGGCUUUGAGUUGGUCCACUCUAACGUCUACCCCAUCUAUGACUGCUGGAGCAUGAAGGGACUGGUCUUGAGGGAACUGUAGCUACGGGAUCUCCGUGACUCAGGGCAACUGUAGAAUAUUUGAGAGGAGUUUCAGUGAGGGUCCAGUAUUGAUAGUGUAGCAGAAGCCAGAUGCCUUGAACCUAACCAACAACUCAUUACACAAUGGAUGUCUGCAAGUAAAACUGUUUGGAGAAAAGGAUCUACUGUGUGACACACCACAGUUCCCAAUACCACUACGACAAAGGAAUAUGUGAUGGAGAGGCGGGAAAGAUGGAGGAGCAAAGUGGUUUUGGUUUUUGUUUGUUUGUUUUAUGUAUUUAUUUGUUUGUUUGUUUGUUUCCAGGGAGGGGUUACAAGGAUAGAGGGCUGACAUGGAAGGACUAGGAAAUGAAUGGAAUUGGGGUGUAUGAUAUGAAAUUCCCAAAGAAUCAAUAAGAAAAAAUAUUAAAAAAAAAAGAAGGCGGAGGGGCCUUCCAUUCAUUUAUACCUCUGCUGAUCUG